rnacentral:rRNA from 1 species
UACAGAGGUCUCAAGCGUUGUUCGGAUUCAUUGGGCGUAAAGGGUGUGUAGGUGGCGCGCUAAGUCGGGUGUGAAAUUUCGGAGCUUAACUUCGAAACUGCAUUCGAUACUGCCGUGCUUGAGGACUGGAGAGGAGACUGGAAUUUACGGUGUAGCGGUGAAAUGCGUAGAUAUCGUAAGGAAGACCAGUGGCGAAGGCGGGUCUCUGGACAGUUCCUGACGCUGAGGCACGAAGGCCAGGGGAGCAAACGGG